UACGUAGGGUGCGAGCGUUGUCCGGAAUUAUUGGGCGUAAAGAGCUCGUAGGCGGUCUGUCGCGUCGGAUGUGAAAGCCCGGGGCUUAACCCCGGGUCUGCAUUCGAUACGGGCAGACUAGAGUGUGGUAGGGGAGAUCGGAAUUCCUGGUGUAGCGGUGAAAUGCGCAGAUAUCAGGAGGAACACCGAUGGCGAAGGCAGGUCUCUGGGCCACUACUGACGCUGAGAAGCGAAAGCAUGGGGAGCGAACAGG
rnacentral:rRNA from 1 species